UACGGGGGGGGCAAGCGUUGUUCGGAAUUACUGGGCGUAAAGGGCGCGUAGGCGGCCUUCUAAGUCGAACGUGAAAUCCCCGGGCUCAACCCGGGAACUGCGUCCGAUACUGGGAGGCUUGAAUCCGGGAGAGGGAUGCGGAAUUCCAGGUGUAGCGGUGAAAUGCGUAGAUAUCUGGAGGAACACCGGUGGCGAAGGCGGCAUCCUGGACCGGCAUUGACGCUGAGGAGCGAAAGCCAGGGGAGCAAACGGG
rnacentral:rRNA from 1 species